CCUACGUGGAGCAGCAGUGGGGAAUAUUGGACAAUGGGCGAAAGCCUGAUCCAGCCAUGCCGCGUGUGUGAAGAAGGCCUUCGGGUUGUAAAGCACUUUCAGUGGGGAAGAAAGCCUUGGGGCUAAUACCCUCGAGGAAGGACAUCACCCACAGAAGAAGCACCGGCUAACUCCGUGCCAGCAGCCGCGGUAAUACGGAGGGUGCGAGCGUUAAUCGGAAUUACUGGGCGUAAAGCGCGCGUAGGCGGUCUGAUAAGCCGGUUGUGAAAGCCCCGGGCUCAACCUGGGAACGGCAUCCGGAACUGUCAGGCUAGAGUGCAGGAGAGGAAGGUAGAAUUCCCGGUGUAGUGGUGAAAUGCGUAGAGAUCGGGAGGAAUACCAGUGGCGAAGGCGGCCUUCUGGACUGACACUGACGCUGAGGUGCGAAAGCGUGGGUAGCAAACAGGAUUAGAUACCCCAGUAGUC
rnacentral:rRNA from 1 species